rnacentral:rRNA from 1 species
AACGAACGCUGGCGGCAUGCCUAACACAUGCAAGUCGAACGAGACCUUCGGGUCUAGUGGCGCACGGGUGCGUAACGCGUGGGAAUCUGCCCCUUGGUUCGGAAUAACUUCGGGAAACUGAAGCUAAUACCGGAUAAUGACGUAAGUCCAAAGAUUUAUCGCCAAGGGAUGAGCCCGCGUAGGAUUAGCUAGUUGGUGGGGUAAAGGCUCACCAAGGCGACGAUCCUUAGCUGGUCUGAGAGGAUGAUCAGCCACACUGGGACUGAGACACAGCCCAGACUCCUACGGGAGGCAGCAGUGGGGAAUAUUGGACAAUGGGCGAAAGCCUGAUCCAGCAAUGCCGCGUGAGUGAUGAAGGCCUUAGGGUUGUAAAGCUCUUUUACCCGGGAAGAUAAUGACUGUACCGGGAGAAUAAGCCCCGGCUAACUCCGUGCCAGCAGCCGCGGUAAU